UGCUGUUUUAUUAGAAAAUAGAUGAUUGACAUCAUGAUUUUAUUCUUAUUUUAAUGUCUAAAGUGAAAUCCGAUCCUUGGCAACAGUAACUAAGGGCGGGUCUGCAGUUCACUUCAAAUUCCCGCGAUACUCAGCGACACCGCGAGAGGUUGAGGGUGACGUCAGAAACAAUAUGGCGGCUACAGCCCCCUCGGACUCUGUCGACCAGGACCUGAACCAGACCGAAAUGAAGGAGGAGAACCAGGACUUCGGCUUCAUAGACUAUGAGAAUUACAACAUCACAAUAAAGGAGGAGGACGAGGAUCCGGAUUUCAUCGAGCAGAGCGUUUACAAUACUGAAAUAAAGCAGGAGAACCAGGACUCGGGUUUCGUCGAGCAGGACGGUUACAGGAGCGGAGUGAAGGCUGAGGGACCGGGACCAGGACCGGGACCGGAUCUGGUGGAGGAAGACCACCACAUGAGCCAAACAAAGGAGGAGCUCGAAGACCCGGACCGUCAGAGCCAUGACCCCGCUGGAUCCACAGAUCAACAGAGGGUUCUCUCCAAAAUACAUCAACACCUCCUUCUGCACUGUCGGAUUUAACUGCUGCUCCUCAUCCUCUUCAUCAGUGGUGCUGGACUCUGAUGAUCUCAGGAACGAUGUUUCACCUCUGGCACAUGUUACUGGGAGUCUUCAUCUGUGCUGGUGGCUUCAUUCCAUCCAUUAAGGACUGUGUUUGGGGAUUUAGGUUAAAGCACACAUGAUCCCUACUGUUUUACUCUGAUCCGAUCGGCUACAUGAAGCUGGUUCGAUCUAAAUGGUGCAGCAAUGUCACCCCAGGGAGCUGUUGAGGUUUUGUACCAGCUGUGGACCUGCAGACAAGUCGACAUAUCGAUGCUCCAGGCUCAGGCCCUCAGUGAGGUCCCACAGUUCAGGCUUUAGAUCCAGGUUGUUCUCCUCUUGGAGUUGCUGCUGUGUCAGAGAGCUCAGCAGUCGCUGGCUGUUUUGGUUCCAGUAGUCUGGAUAAAAUAAUAAGUGCUGUUCCAGCGAGUAACUUGUGGAUAUCUGCAACUAGAAUGUUAAUUCUUGAUAUGAAAUUGAAAAGACCAGGUAAAUGUUA
rnacentral:lncRNA from 1 species